rnacentral:misc_RNA from 1 species
GAUGAAGAACGUAGCGAAAUGCGAUAAGUAAUGUGAAUUGCAGAAUUCAGUGAAUCAUCGAAUCUUUGAACGCACAUUGCGCCCGCCAGUAUUCUGGCGGGUAUGCCUGUUCGAGCGUCAUUUCAACCAUCAAGCCCCAGGCUUGUGUUGGGGACCUGCGGCUGCCGCAGGCCCUGAAAACCAGUGGCGGGCUCGCUGUCACACCGGGCGUAGUAGAUUUUAUCUCGCUCUGGGCGUGCUGCGGGUUCCGGCCGUUAAAAAACCCUUUUAACCCAAGGUUGACCUCGGAUCAGGUAGGAAUAUCCGCUGAACUUAAGCAUAUCAAUAAGCGGAGGA